rnacentral:rRNA from 1 species
UACGUAGGGUGCAAGCGUUGUCCGGAAUUAUUGGGCGUAAAGAGCUCGUAGGCGGUCUGUCGCGUCGGCUGUGAAAACCCGGAGCUCAACUCCGGGCCUGCAGUCGAUACGGGCAGACUGGAGUUCGGCAGGGGAGACUGGAAUUCCUGGUGUAGCGGUGAAAUGCGCAGAUAUCAGGAGGAACACCGGUGGCGAAGGCGGGUCUCUGGGCCGACACUGACACUGAGAGACGAAAGCUAGGGGAGUGAAUGGG